rnacentral:rRNA from 1 species
UGAACGGAAUAUGUUAGCUUGCUAAUAUAUUUAGUAGCAAAUGGGUGAGUAACACGUACCUAACCUACCUUUUGGACCGGGAUAACUAUUGGAAACAGCAGCUAAUACCGGAUAUAAUAAAAAAAUGCAUGUUUUUUUAUCAAAAGAAGCCUUUAAAGCUUCACCAAAAAAUGGGGGUGCGCAACAUUAGUUAGUUGGUAGGGUAAAGGCCCACCAAGACGAUGAUGUUUAGCGGGGCCAAGAGGCUGUACCGCCACACUGGGAUUGAGAUACGGCCCAGACUCCUACGGGAGGCAGCAGUAAGGAAUAUUCCACAAUGAGCGAAAGCUUGAUGGAGCGACAC